CCAAAACAAAAGUGAAAAUGACCCUAAUGAUACAUUUAGGGUCCCAUUUUAUAUACAAUACAAAAGAGUCAUUCAUCUAGUUCAUUCGGCAACCAUUUAUCAAAAUUCAUUCCAAAAGAGUCAUAUUCCUGUAAGGAAAACAAAAGGAACGGGGUGAGCUAAUUGCCCAGUGAGAAUACAACUCAAGCAACCAAGUUCAUGGAUACAUCAAGUUUAACAGUCCAAUUUACCAAAAUAAAUAAAGCCACACAUUAAUAAUGAGGAAAAAAAAGGAUACGGGUGGCUCUCAAGAGCCCUUUUCCUCGUUUGAAUUCUUGAUCAGGUCUCAUUGACUCUCCGUCAAUGUCUGAAAGGUAACCAACCGUAGACUCCUCUUAACUUCCAUUCCCUUCCUCCUAACAUUCCUCAACCGGGCCCGAAAUCCAAACACUUGCAUUGUGGUAUUACUCGAGUAAACCGGAAUCAAGAGUCUCUCAUACUACAAGAUUCCCUAUGAUGUUGCCCCAAGGCGCAUUAAUUGGCACGACCAAGCCCUCGCCGGCUCGAUUCAAUCAAUAACCAAUGGGGUUGAGCUCAUGGAUAAUAUUUGAAGUCAUGUAUUUCAUUUCAUAUAACAUUUCAUAUAACAUUUCAUAUAACUUUCCAAUAACAUGCGAAACAAUAAGUGAAAGUGAUAAAGUACACUCUCACUUGGAUCAAUCAACAUUCAACAUCUCAAGUACAAAGAUCAAAGCCAUGUAAUAGCACAUAAGUGAGUAGUACACUCACCUAGCUAGCACAAUGCGGUUUCAAAUACUUUAGUCAAAAGAACGUUGUGCACCACCGUCACGCCCUAAAAUCACGCAACAAAUGCAAUGAGACUCGAUAACGAGUCAUAUAGCAAUGCUAAACACAACCCCAAUAGGGUUUCAUAUGCAUAAAUGAGCAUAAUAGCAAACCAGAAAUUAGAAAAUGGCCUUAGUCUUGGCCCCAAAUAGAAAACUGUUUUGCCCUUAUUAUGCGGUAAUGGUGUAAAAUUCUCUACGGUUAUCGGAUGGGGGUGUAAGACCCACCGUUUCGAAGCUAUGAAACAGGGCUACAAAAAUGUAGAAGGUCACUCAAUCCAGUUCCUAGCUUAACUAGGUCGAAAAUGCCAAAUACUAUACCAGAAUUACCAAAACAGGUUUGCAAAUCACACAAAACUGUAAUUACUAUAACUUAGUCUAUACAAGUCCAAAUGCCGAAAUUCCAAAGGCAUAUGUUAGCUAAGACAUCCAGCUACAUUUCAUCAGAAGACACCAACAACUAAAUCCAAACCAAUUCCAGUCAAAAUGGCCAAUAACCAGUACAGUUUUCGCAUUCUGUCCAAAGCAGAACAGCUACAGUAAUUUCGUCAUAUCUCACUCCACACUAAUCCAAAUGACCUGAAAUUUUGCAGGCAUCUCAAACACAUCAAUACCUACAACUUUCAUGUUUUGAGCAAAGUCCAAUUCGGCCUCUAUCUAUGACCUAAAAUUUCGGACAGAAUGUUCAACCAAGAACCCUAAUUUUUCCAGAAAUUCUUCCAAAUUCAAAAUUGAUUGCAAUUUCCUAUCAUAUGCACCUACUAGAGCCAAAGCCCCUUAUUACCAACCAUCAAAAACAACCACACCAUCAAGAUCAUAUGAAACCAGAAAAUUCCUCAAAAAAAUAAAAAACUCAACCAAAUCACUUCAAACCAAGAAAUAAAUCAUAUAUUCCUUCACUCAUGCCACCAUUAAGCAUCAUAUAACCAUCAUUAGGUAUAGGGGAGAGGUUGAAGCAUCACUUACCAAGAAACAAGAGAGAGGAGGAUAUUGGACACCUUAGCUCUUCAAAACAACUUCACUAAUACCCUUACUAGCACUAAAAGAUAGGAUUUUAUGGAGUGAAAUGGAUGGAAGCAAAUGUUUUUGGUUGAUUUGCACCAAGUAGAAGCUAAAACUUGAAGAGUUUCUCCUUCCUUCCUUGAGCUAGAGAGCCGGCCAACAAGAGAAGAAAAUGGUGAGUUUUAGUCAAUUUUUUGAGAUAUUUAACUAAUGGGUCAAAAGUCAAAAACAUGAAUAGUAAGCCUUAAGUCAAACCCAAUGAAACAAUGACACUUGGCACCUCAAUUAAUGCAAUCCUAUCCUUUCUUUUCUCUCUCACAUCAAUCAUUUCACACACUCUACUUAUCUCUUAACACCCGAUAAAUUUUACACAGUAUCCGAAACUUAACCUUAUUGGCCGAAUUUUUCCGAACUUUUCGCACUAGUGGGUCCCACGUCCACUAUUUACUCUUAAUUUUCUAAAAACUCUCUAAUACUAGAAAAAUCAUCUUAAAACUAUAAUUACGCAUAAAAUCUACCAGAAAAUAUUUCUAAGCCAGAAAAUGCAAAAAUUAUGCAAUUAAGGGGUAAUAAACCCUAGGAAAAAAAAAUAGGGUUUUUACGGGUUCUCACACAAGACACAAGCAAAUCCCUCUAGUGAAAGUCUUAUGGAGAAAUUAUGGAAUCGAGAAAGCAACUUGGGAAGUUGGAAGAGGAGAUCCGAAAAAAGUCACCAGAGUUAUUUGUAAAUCAAGGUAUGAAUUUUGAGGACGAAAUUCUUUUAAGGGAGGAAAGAUGUGAGGACCCGAAAUUUUCUUUUUUUUUUGGGCUUAUCUAUUUAUUUAUUUACCCCAAUUAAUUUAUUUCAUUCAUUUUAAUUGCAUCUGCAUUGUACAUUAUUUCAUUUUAUAUUUUUAACACGUUUGUUCUUGUCGCGCCCCAUUUUUUGAUAAAUAAAUAAAUGGUUUAAAAAAAUGUAUUUGAAUUUAUGAUUGGAAAAAGAAAUGUGGGUCUAAAUGGGGGUUUGAAAAUGCGACGAUUUGACCCAAAAUUAUAGUUUAAAAAGGGUUUUUGGAAAAAUGGGAGUCGCCACUUGGUAAUGAGUUAAGGUGUACCAAGUCACCUAAAAAUGAAUUUUUUAGGAAAAAGUUGUAAGAAACCCCUUUUAAACGACUCCUAAUCCACGUAAACCAAUGAAAAAGGUUCGGGAGUCACAUUUGACGAAGGGGAAGGCAAGGAUAAAAAUCCAAGGCACCCCUUCGACCUAGCCAAGGCUAGUUGCGGGAUUUAAUCAAAGUUUUUCUUGUUUUAACCAAAGAAUUUAUUACAUUUGGAUGCACUACAUGAAUGUAAAAAGAAAGAAAAAAUGCAAACCUAAAUUCUAAAAUGUCUCUUGUAAGGUUUUUUGGUCCCAACCACAUGAAUUGUGGCGGCCAAUAAAGGAAAACCUUAUAGAGGUCGAUUAAUGCAAAUGAUGGCUAAAGUGCAAGUGUGCAAGUGUAUAAAAAGGUGCACGUGUGAAAUUGUAAAAAAUCCAAGUGUUUGUGUGCCAGUGUAUGGAAAGGUGCAUGUGUGAAUUUGUAUGAAAAAUCCAAGUGUUUGUGUGCAAGUGUAUGAAAUAUAGUGAUAAGUGCAUAUAGGUGUAAUUAAGUGCAAUUUUGUGAAGUAGAAAUCAAAUUGAACAAUAAGGAAAGGAAAAGUGAUGAGGAAAUGUGAAUUGGAAAAAAAAAAUGAGUAAGUGAUAAAUGAGAAUGAAUGAACCUAAAGGAAUGCAUCAGGUCGGGUAUGGGAAUGACUACUAACUUUUCGACUUCGAUUUUCCCUUUGAUUAGAAGGCAAAACUAGCGUGCUAAGGCUAUCGAGUAGCCACACUCGCUCGUUUCCCUUAUCGGAGGGGACUCUUCAGGCAAAUGUACCCUAACUAGCAUGAGAUGCAAGACCUAAAGUGAGGGGAAAGGGGAUUAGAGGGACAUGCCAAAUGAUAAAACUAAAAAAAAAAAUGCAUGACAUGUAAUGAACAUGCAAACAUGUACUAACGAGGGGAAAUCCCUAAGGGUCUAGCGUUGGACUAGCCUAUUCUAUGAAUUCCGACUAGCGUUGGACUAGUGGAAACGUACAUUCAUCCAUCACAUUCAUUCAUGGCCAUGGAAAAGCGAGUAGACAUGCCAAACACUCGUGAACACAUAGCACAUAACACUUAGCAUGCUCGACUAGAUGCAAGGCCCUAAUAAAGCAAAUUAACACGUAGCACAUAAGCAUGCAAGACAAAUAAGACAAUUAAAGCCCUAACUAUUACAUUUGCUAGCUAGGCACAUGUCUUCAAUAGGUCUUCAUCAAAUGCUCCUCCAAGCCCUAUCUAUUACAAGCCAAGAGGUGUACACAUACCCCAUAAAAAAUAACUUAAAUAAAAAGCAAAAGUAAAAAUGAAAAUGAAAGGAAUUAAGGAAAAGCAAGGGAAGCAAGUAAACAUGCAAUUUUCACGUAGCACGUUGGAUCACAUAGGAGAGACAAAAAAGAUAAAAGAAGUUAUACCUCCCUUGAGUUGGAGCUCUAAUGGGGUGAAGUCACUUAUUUAUCCUCCAAAAUAAAAGAAAUGGUCAAGGUACCAAUUUAUUUGGGAAAAUUAAAGAAAACGUGCAAAACGAAGCUCACUUGAUCGUAAAGCCUCUAAAGUCAUGGCUUAAGUGCAAUUGACAAAACAUGGUAGUUAAUUGAAGCAAAACAAACAAUGAAAUUGCAAAAACUAAAGCUGCCAAGGGCCAAAUUGAGGACAUUAUUCAAUUGGUUGGGUCAUAGUGGCAUAAGGGAAAACUUGAGGGGUUAAAGUCCAAUUUUCUUGAACAUUUACAUGCAUGCAUACGAGCAGCUUCUUCAUUUCUGGUUGCUAAUUUUCUGCCAAGGUUUUCCUUACAUUUAGACAUGCAAGUAUGUUAACCAUAUGCCAGGACUUGGAACUAACUAACAUUAACUAAACAUGCAACUUCAUGGCAGGUUAGAAACAAGAAAAUGGUGCUGAUCAUCAAAGGUGUAGAGAGGAUUUAAGAACAGCAAUAGAAGGAAAAAUAAGAAAUGCCGCAAGUUUUCUGCAACAACUGCAUUUUACUUUCCAACACCAAGUUCAGACUCCAAGCGCAUACUUUAACCGAAGUGUUCUUGAUUCCACAUCCAAACUUUGAGCUAAACAAACAAGACAUGAUUUUGACAUCCAAACAAACAAGAAACAUAAGAGGAACUGGUGCAAAAGAUCACGAAGGAACUUAUGCAUUCUGCAAAUUCCAGCCAAGGCUGCUUCCGCAACUCUUUGCUCUUAAGCUCUUGGUGGUCAAAACAAAAAUCUGAAUGCAGCUUGCUCAACAAUUUUCAACCAAGAUCAUAGUUUUUAAAACUAAGCAACAAAAAACACUCGACUCUGUCAUCCAAACAAACAAGAAAACAUAGCAGAAAUUGGUGCAAAAAUCUGGACAGAACGUUCGUGUAGCAGUGGCUUAGCAACCUGGAAUUUACUUUUCAUCAAGCAUUUGAACAUGAUUCAAGCAUUUCAGCCCCUAAACGUGCAAACCCAAUGCCAGAUCAAUUCAUUUCUUCCAUUCAAAGUAAGAUUAAGCAUGCAACUUAAGUGUGAAAACUCAAUGGGCAAUUAAGAAAAAGAAAACAGCACAGAAAAAACGUAACAGCCUGUUGCUUUGCUAUGAACUUUGCAGCUUCAAACCAUUGUAUUGGACACCGCAACCAUUGUAUUAGACUCACCCUUUAUCCACCAAACUCACACACAUAUUCAAACAUCCAUUUUAACAGCAAGGAAACCAAAAGAAUUCAGCAAUGAAGAUAUCAACCUUCCCUCGAAAUGCCGAACCAGAAAAUUCGAGAAAACAGAUUGACUCUCGGACCAUGAAGCAAAAAUCAUUAUUCAGUACAAGAAAAACCAUUUCAUUCCCUCUUGGCAGCCAAGAAACAUCACUCAGCGCAAAAUCAUCCUCAUGGUCAGCAAACAACAACAAGACACCAAAUAAUGCACAAACCCCCCGUGAUACAUAGCAAACUCAAAAGAAUCUACCCGCACGGUUGUAGCAAAAUUGAGACUUUGAAACUUGCUAUGGCAAACUCUAAAUCUUACUCUUAAAGGUCCUAACAACCAUAACAAAUGAUCCACAGACCAGUUGUCGAUCUAAACAAGGGAGAAACAUGAAGGGUGCACAGAGAAAGCAAUUGGUUUCUAUUUCUUAUGAAAUUCAUGGUGAUAUCAUACGAAACUAACUAAAAACUUACAGCUUCAUCAUCGGACAUUCUAAGACAAACAGCCAUGAUACGGAUUCACCAUCUCUCCAAGAUACACAAAGAACAAGAAAAACAUGGAAGAAGAAACUCACAGCAAAUUUGCAAACAAAGAUUUUUGAUACCCAGAUGAAAGUCCGAUGAUUUGGGACCGAAAGAAAAGAGAAGUGACAGGUUACCUUUGCUCCUUUGAGUUGCAAAAGACAGCACCUUGAUGAAGGAGCGAUGGAUCCUUGACGCAAACCAAACAAAACUGGAAAAGUUUCACCUUUUGAUGCGCCUGCCUUCUAGAUUCUGCACCGCCUUUCUUUCUAGUCGAAAGCUUCUCACUCACUCUUUUCUUCUCACCUUCCCGGGCUCUCCCAAUGAAACCCUCAACUCUUGUUUUCUUUCUCCUUGCGAACCGAUCCUCCCCUUCAAACCUUUCCAGCCCUCCGUUUCUCUAUUUUCUUUAGGUCUCGGUCAGUUGUCAUCCCUCGGAUUCUACCCCCCUAAUCUCACUCAGCCGUGAGCUCUCGUGCUUGAUUUUCCUUCUCACUCUCUCAAACCGUCUCAAAAUUCUCUCUCGGUUCUUCCCUUCUGUCUCUCCCUUCCUGGUUUUUCUUCUGCCGUUCUCCAGAACCUCUCUCACGGGAGCUCUCUCCUAAUCCCCCCUUUCUGAUGCAGCCGCCAACCCCUUCUCUGUUUUUCCAGUUGCGGCCGUCACCUCUCUGAUGAAAAACCUCUCCUUUUUUCACAGUUUUUCUGGUUCUCCACUCAAUUCUUACGGCUGCCCUCUUGUUCUUCUCCGUUCUCUGCCGUUUCUUUUUUUCUAUUUCUUCCCGUCAAUCUCUUUCUCUCCUUCGAAACUCUCUC
rnacentral:lncRNA from 1 species